GAUGAACGCUAGCGGCAGGCUUAAUACAUGCAAGUCGAGGGGCAGCAUGAUUGUAGCAAUACAAUUGAUGGCGACCGGCAAACGGGUGCGGAACACGUACACAACCUCCCAAUAAGUGGGGAAUAGCCCAGAGAAAUUUGGAUUAAUACCCCGUAACAUAACGAUGUGGCAUCACAUUGUUAUUAUAGAUUUUUCGCUUAUUGAUGGGUGUGCGGCUGAUUAGAUAGUUGGCGGGGUAACGGCCCACCAAGUCUACGAUCAGUAGCUGAUGUGAGGGUAUGAUCAGCCACACGGGCACUGAGACACGGGCCCGACUCCUACGGGAGGCAGCAGUAAGGAAUAUUGGACAAUGGACGCAAGUCUGAUCCAGCCAUGCCGCGUGAAGGAUUAAGGUCCUCUGGAUUGUAAACUUCUUUUAUAAGGGACGAAAAAAGGCUUUUCUAAGUCGUCUGACGGUACCUUAUGAAUAAGCACCGGCUAACUCCGUGCCAGCAGCCGCAGUAACAC
rnacentral:rRNA from 1 species